UAGGGAAAGUUGCAAAGCACUUUGAAGAGAGAGUUAAAGAGGACGUGAAACCGGUGAGGUGGAAACGGAUAGAGUCGGCGUAUCAUUCAAUUAUUCAGUUACAUUAUUUUUAUGUUGUGAUCUCUGAGCUCCAGAUUGGGACAGAGAGAAUCAGCAUAAUUUUCUGUGGUGCAUUUACUUGAUUGGUGCUUGGGGAUGUUUGAGGCAGAUUUGUGUCCGUCGUUUUGAGGCCAGCUUGCUGGUACCCAAACGGUGUUAGCAUUUUUUGUCUUGGACAUUUGAGUAUGGCUCACGUUUAUUUAUUGGUCAGAUCUGAGUGUAAGUUACGGUCGCAUGCUGACACGUGCUUUUCAAUUAGUUCGAGUCCAGUUAACUGCUCUCGUACUCGUUCCCCAUGUAAAAGCACGUGACCUAUCCGACCCGUCUUGAAACACGGACCAAGGAGUUUAUCGUUGUCCACAAGUUUUUGGGUGUUAAAAACCUAAAAGCGUAAAUGAACCAGUAAGAUGGCUCUUUAGACGUCUGAUGUGCGAUCUGUGUAAAAAAGUGCAGCAUGGCCCCAUCAUCUAACUGCUUUACAGAAAAUUAUGCUGGCUGGCGGAAUGCGGUGAGACCCGAAAGAUGGUGUAACUGAAUUCCUGAGCAGGACGAAGCCAGA
rnacentral:rRNA from 1 species